rnacentral:rRNA from 1 species
GACAGAGGGUGCGAACGUUGUUCGGAAUUACUGGGCGUAAAGCGCAUGUAGGCGGCAGCGCAAGUCGGGCGUGAAAUCCCACGGCUCAACCGUGGAAGUGCACUCGAAACUGCGCAGCUAGAGUCCUGGAGAGGAAGGUGGAAUGCUUGGUGUAGAGGUGAAAUUCGUAGAUAUCAAGCGGAACACCGGUGGCGAAGGCGGCCUUCUGGACAGUCGACGUGACGGCUGAGAUGCGAAAGCGU